rnacentral:rRNA from 1 species
ACAAAGGGCAGCUACACAGCGAUGUGAUGCUAAUCUCCAAACCAUGUCUCAGUUCGGAUCGGAGUCUGCAACUCGACUCCGUGAAGCUGGAUUCGCUAGUAAUCGCGCAUCAGCCAUGGCGCGGUGAAUACGUUCCCGGGCCUUGUACACACCGCCCGUCAAGCCAUGGGAGCCGGGGGUACCUGAAGUCCGUAACCGCGAGGAUCGGCCUAGGGUAAAACUGGUGACUGGGGCUAAGUCGUAACAAGGUAGC